ensembl:lncRNA LINC00642 long intergenic non-protein coding RNA 642
AGUCUGGCGGGAGCCGUCCCUGGAUGGGGGUCACUAGCCUCCCCAUUGUGACUCGUUUGAGCUCUUAGCCAGGCGUGUAGUCUGGCGGGAGCCGUCGCGGCUGGCUCGGCAGCUCCAGGCUAUUCCGAGGAACAGUCUUCAGAGAGCCUGGGGUGCUGAUGGGGAAAAGCUGUUGCUGAGAUUUGACAAGUUUGGUCCUGAGAUGUCAGAAAGGAUUUCAGCUCUUCUGCCACCCCAAGGACGGUGGCGCGUAAAUCACAGUGAGCUGGCUUAUGUCAGGUCAACUGUGGAAUUUGAUCCUAGCGCAUUGCUCCCUCCUCUUCCUUGCCUGCGUCUCUCCCUCUCUCAGCUCUAGUUUGAGAUCAGCACAGAUUCCCUGGGUGAUUUUUGAGAAAACUGCCUCCUCUUUAGGACUUGGCAUCCCCUAACCUGCAUCAGGAAAGGGUGGCGACAGAUACUCUCACACCCAGGGAGGCUGCAAGGCCCACCCUCUACCCUCCACCUGGGUUCUCUGGCGUCGAGACUUGUGCCCUACAGUUCUGGGCCGUUGGGGUGAUGUCCCAGUGGGACCAGGGUGAGGGUGCAGGUAUCUGAGGGAGUAGUAGGACCAGAACCUCUAACCUUAGGGAGGCUUCCUGGGAGCCAAGCUUGGUGACUUAGAAUGUGAAUGUCUGACCCAUAUCCCACUACCUUUUGGUGGGUGCUGCAGAGGACAAUGGAGAGAGAGUCAACUCUGAAGAGUGGUCUUGUGGAAGAGGCAGCUGGCUGGUUCAGUGUGGCACUGGCAGCCUCCCUAAGGUUCCCAGGUAGAAGUUUCUGACAGGUAGAUUUCAGCUGUGUUUAAGGAAGAACUUUGAAGUUGUCAGAAUGAGCGGUCUUGUGAUAGUGAGCUCCCUGUCUCCAGAGGCAUGCAAGCAGGACACUUUCACAUAUGCAUUCAAGAUGACCUAUGCAAGGCGUUGUGCUAAGUGCUAGGAGUGCAGAGGAGAACGAGACCCAGUGGGGAAACAGGCACUUGCAAUGCUGCUAGGACAAUGAAUCCAGGCAGUGAUCCACCAAUGAUAACUAACAUCAUAAAAAGAUACAUGGCCGGAUAUGAUGUUCCUUCUGACGGAAGACCACAACACCUGCUGAAAAAUCAAAUCUGAAUCGGAUCAAGCCUCUAGAGACUGACCCUGCUUAUUUCUGUGAACCAACCAGUGAUCUCUGGCUACUGCUCAGAAGAAACAGAGGGUUUGACACAGACAAGCAAGGUGAAGAUGGUGGAGCCACAAUGUGGAAGGAGGUUGGAUCCCUGAAUCACCACUGGGAAGAGAGUCACCUGCUAAUCAAAAACAUGGUUUUGGAUUUUACCUGAAAACUUAUAAACUUCUAUCAUAUUUGACCCAUUGUC